UAAAAGCACACAAGAACCUACCAUGUGUAGUGAUCUAUCUCAAUUUUGAAUGAGAUUUAAGAUAAUAAUGCCAAAACGAGAUAUUCAAUUUGAAAGUUCUGUUUCAAAAAAAAAAAAAUUCAACUCCAGAGUCUUGAGUAAUUUUUGUUGCUAGCAGGAGGAAGUACAUUGUGAUAUAAAAAGGAAAGAGAGGUGAAAUUUCAUAUUAUCAAGAAAGUUGGCCAAAGCAUGUAAAAGCACACAAGAACCUAC
rnacentral:lncRNA from 1 species